GAGUCAACCUUAUGUGCGAGUGCCCGGGCGUAAAACCCCAGCGCGGAAUGAAAGUGAACGUAGGUGAGAGCUUCGGCGCAUCACCGACCGAUCCUGAUGUCCUCGGACGGAUUUGAGUGAGAGCAUAUAGGGUUGGACCCGAAAGAAGAUGAACUAUGCGUGUGUAGGGUGAAGCCAGAGGAAACUCUGGUGGAGGCUCGCAGCGGUUCUGACGUGCAAAUCGAUCGUCAAACAUGCGCAUGGGGGCGAAAGACUAAUCGAAUCUUCUGGUAGCUGGUUUCCGCCGAAGUUUCCCUCAGGAUAGCAGUGUUGAUCCCAGUUUUAUGAGGUAAAGCGAAUGAUUAGGGACUCGGGGGCGCUAUUUAGCCUUCAUCCAUUCUCAAACUUUAAAUAUGUAAGAAGUCCCCGUUACUUUAUUGAACGCGGACGCUGGAAUGAAACAACACUAGUGGGCCAUUUUUGGUAAGCAGAACUGGCGAUGCGGGAUGAACCGAACGCGAGGUUAAGGUGCCGGAGUGGACGCUCAUCAGACACCACAAAAGGUGUUAGUACAUCUUGACAGCAGGACGGUGGCCAUGGAAGUCGGAAUCCGCUAAGGACUGUGUAACAACUCAC
rnacentral:rRNA from 1 species